ACUUAAAUAGUUUAAUAAAAAAUAUUAAUUUGUGGGAUUAAAGAUACAACAGGAAUAAUUUUGUUUUAGGUA
rnacentral:tRNA from 1 species